CAUGGUGGAGCGAUAUAUAAGAGCAGUGCAACUCCGAAAAAGAAAAUAAACUCUACAGCACUCGAUACACUGAGGACCAUCUCUGGAAACGUAGACCAGGGCAGACCAUCAACAGCUCCUCAAGCCUCCUGCAGUAUUUUACUCUUAGGACACCUCACCUGCUCUAUCAAUAUAAUGUAUCUUCUGGGACUCUGUACACUGGCCCUGCUGGCCUCCACCAUCGCACAGAAUGUUUCAACAAUAGCUUCUUUCACUCCUACAAUCGCUGUUUCUGCUCCUACAAUCACUGGUUCUGCUCCUACAAGCGCUGGUCCUGUUGCUCCUACAAGCGCUGGUCCUGUUGCUCCUACAAGCGCUGGUCCUGUUGCUCCUACAAGCGCUGGUCCUGUUGCUCCUACAAGCGCUGGUCCUGUUGCUCCUACAAGCGCUGGUCCUGUUGCUCCUACAAGCGCUGGUCCUGUUGCUCCUACAACCGCUGGUCCUGUUGCUCCUACAAGCGCUGGUCCUGUUGCUCCUACAACCGCUCGUCCUGUUGCUCCUACAACAGCAGCAACUGUCCAAUCUUCCAAACCAAGUGGCAGCCCAGCAACCGGAGCGUCUCUGUUGUGUUCUGUGGUGAUUCUUCUGCUCUACAGCCUGUAGUACUAAGUGGUGAACCCCCUCUGGCCUGGAUUUUGUAUUGUUCAGGACUAUAUAGACUGAGUGGCUAUGAAUGACCCCAGAGGCAAUGAACAAAGCAAAUAUGUAUCUGGAAGAAUGGAUUUUCUUCUACUAGAACACCAGUCAUUGAUGUUUCAUGUUAGAGGUUAAUCUUUGUAUAUGGACACGUUAUGAGAGAAGCAAAUUCUUCUUAAAUUUGAAUUUGGGUGGGUGGAUUGGAGGGAAGAAGGGGUGGAGGGAGGGGUUGGGGUUGUACUGUUUUCCUGUUCUCAUAUCUGAAAAUCUAUAAAGAAAGUACAACAAAAAGCAUUUGUUGUAAACCGUCACCAAGGGGUAAAAACCUUUGGGCUAAGAGAUAUUGGUUGUGUUUUGAACACUGACAGUUUUACGAACUUGAUUCCACUGCCCUUUUAGACUUAUAUUCUUGUCCGUUUGUUUGAUUAAGUUGAAAUGCACUGAUUAGAGGGAAUGAGUUCAUGUUGUAGACAAUACACUUGAUUGUAAUCCAAUUUCUAUGUUAAUAAAUGCAUGUAUGGAAGUACAAUCAAAAACAGUAUAAUAAAAUAAUAGAAUGUGUGACUA